rnacentral:rRNA from 1 species
CCUACGGGUGGCAGCAGUGGGGGAUAUUGCACAAUGGGGGGAACCCUGAUGCAGCGACGCCGCGUGGGUGAAGAAGCGCCUCGGCGCGUAAAGCCCUGUCAGCAGGGAAGAACAUGACGGUACCUGAAGAAGAAGCCCCGGCCAACUACGUGCCAGCAGCCGCGGUAAUACGUAGGGGGCCAGCGUUCUCUGGAUCUACUGGGUGGAAAGGGGGCGCAGACGGCGAUGCAAGCCAGGGGUGAAAGCCCGGGGCCGAACCCCGGGACUGCUCUUGGAACUGGGUGGCUGGAGUGCGGGAGAGGCAGGCGGAAUUCCAGGUGUAGCGGUGAAAUGCGUAGAUAUCAGGAGGAACACCGGUGGCGAAGGCGGCCUGCUGGACUGCAACUGACGUUGAGGCCCGAAAGCGUGGGGAGCAAACAGGAUUAGAUACCCGGGUAGUC